rnacentral:rRNA from 1 species
GACGAACGCUGGCGGCGUGCUUAACACAUGCAAGUCGAACGGAAAGGCCCUGCUUUUGUGGGGUGCUCGAGUGGCGAACGGGUGAGUAACACGUGAGUAACCUGCCCUUGACUUUGGGAUAACUUCAGGAAACUGGGGCUAAUACCGGAUAGGAGCUCCUGCUGCAUGGUGGGGGUUGGAAAGUUUCGGCGGUUGGGGAUGGACUCGCGGCUUAUCAGCUUGUUGGUGGGGUAGUGGCUUACCAAGGCUUUGACGGGUAGCCGGCCUGAGAGGGUGACCGGCGGUAGGGGGAACGGACUAAGACCAAAGGGCGAGCGGGGGGCGGCAGGGAAGAAUGUAGCACAAGGGGAGGGAGCGGGACGCCGCACGGGGGUGUGGGGGAUGGCGGCCCGAGGUUUGUAAGCCGACGUCGGCGGUGAAGGAGGGUGAGUGAUGGUAAUGGGAAAAGAAGCACCGGAUAACUACGGGCAAGGCGCCGGGGUAAUAGAUAGAAGCACACUUUUGAAC